CAUCGCUGGACUUCAGGAACUUCCUCCGUUCAGCUCAAGGUGAGGCGCUGGUUCUGUUUUUUCUUUGGUUGGUUCCGGCCGGAAUGUUCGGAUUCCAGUCGGACGGUUUGUGCUUCCCGCCGUGGAAGGUUCUGAGUGCGGUCACUUGAUUUAGUCCCAAUGGUUAGCAUAGAACGUUGUAGUCUUGACAAUCAUAAGAAACCACCUGGCAGUUUGUUGGACUGGAGUCCCCUGAGGGAAUCUGGCGGAACGUUCUGGAUUGUAUUUGCGUAACCUCGAGCCGUUUCCUAUUCUAUUUCAGUCUGUUUCGAUUGGGAAUUGUUGCCCCUAUCUUAAAUAACUUAAGUCUGAUAUUAAAUACAUACUGACGCGUACGUCGUACAAUAUGUUGAUAAAUUCCGAUGGUUGCGCCGUACUUUUAACCACGAUGACGUGACGGGACUCUCACUGCGUACAAAACGGCGUUCUACUUGCGGGCCCAUUUUUUACAUCAGGGAAGGCUGAAAAUCAUUUCAAGGUGGAAGCUAAUUUGACAUUUCUUCAACGGAACCUAGCACCUGAAUAUGGCUGAGUUUAUUUGAUUUAAUAUCGAUACUGCUUAGAGUUCUUUGUUACUUCAGCUUUUGUACGUUCUAAAUAUCUGCUGUCAUUAAUUGCCACAGAAGUUAAACCCUUACCCUACCCAAUGGAAUGACGUUAAACAACGACUUUGGUUCAGUUACCAACUUCAUAAUAUCAAAGCUAAAAUAAAGGCAGUCAUUCCCACAUGUUACAAUAGAAGAUACUCUAGAACUGUACAAGGUUAAAAAGGUAACAUGUAGUUUGUCCCAAGGUGUCUGCCUCCUCACCCAGAGCAAGACCUCCACCUCUAGUCAGAAGUCCUCCAGAACAGCUGAACGGCGAGGCUGAGAGGCUGGGGACCAGAGGCUUGUGGUGCCAGGGUGGACCGGAGACUGAGGCUGGAGACCAGGGGGCCACAGCACCGGACCAGAGGGUGAUUUACUGCUGCGAUGAACUGGGUUUGUAACCAGACCAGGAAUCCAUGUCUGGAGGAGCCGAGCUGAUGGAGGAGCCGAGCUGAUGGAGGAGCCGUGCAGAAGGAGCUGAUGGAGGAGUCGUGCUGAAGGCCCUGCCUUGUGGAGGCCCUGCCUGGUGAAGGACGUCUGUCAUGGGACUAGGACUCUGUCUGAGGAGAGCUGCUGGAGGUGCUGAGACGCUGGAGGACGACUAGGAAUCGACCAACAAGGAUUCCUCAACGUGUUCCUGGAGAGGAGGCGAGCUGGUAGGGGAGCCGUGAAUCUGGAGGAUGAACAUCACUCUACAAACAAGGAUUACCAGAACUCUGGCUGAGGAGAGCUGAUGGAGGAGCCAAGACUCUGGAGGACAACAUCGCUCCACCAACCAGGAUCCUCACCAGGAAUCUGGAGGACUGAUGGAGAAGCCGUACAUCUGGAAGGAAAAUCCUGAGGAUUUACUCCACCAGCACUCUACCACCAAGGAUUCCUCAUAAGUUUGCAUUAUCUGGACAUGGUGGACUAG